rnacentral:tRNA from 1 species
UGUUCUGUAGCUUGAUUAGUUAAACCGCCGGACUAGCGAUACGGAGCCGUGGGUUCGACUCCCACCAAAACAA